AUGGGAAGCUUCAAGGUCUCCUUGCUUUUCUCCCUUCUCACUUUCCUCCUGCUCGCCAUUGUCACCGCCGGGGACGACCUGGGGACGUACGUCAUCCACGUGCAGCCCCAGGAGGACCGCCAGUUCGGCACGACCGACGACGACCGGAAGGCGUGGCACCAGUCCUUCCUCCCCGAGCAUGGCCGUCUGCUCCACUCCUACCACCACGUCGCGACCGGCUUCGCGGCGCGGCUGACGCGGCGGGAGCUCGAAGCCGUCUCAGCCAUGCCCGGGUUCGUCGCCGCGGUGCCGGACGUGAUCUACCAUGUGCAGACGACGCACACGCCGCAGUUCCUCGGGCUGGACACGGCGCUGGGCACGAGGAACUUAUCCGUUGGGUCCGGCGAAGGCGUCAUCAUCGGGGUGCUCGACACCGGUGUCUUCCCCGACCACCCCUCCUUCAGCGGCAUCGGCAUGAUGCCGCCGCCAGCCAAGUGGAAGGGGAGGUGCGACUUCAACGGCUCUGCGUGCAACGGACACAAGCUGAUCGGUGCUCGGACCUUCAUCAGCAGCGGCAAUGGCAGCUCUCCUGGCGCCGCCCCCGUGCCUCCGAUCGACGGGCAUGGGCACGGCACGCACACGUCCAGCACCGCCGCAGGAUCAGCCGUACCGGGGGCUCAGGUGUUCGGGCAGGCAAACGGCACCGCGUCCGGCAUCGCGCCCCGCGCGCACCUCGCCGUGUACAAGGUUUGCGAUGAGAACGGCAACUGCGCCGGCAUAGAUGUGCUCGCUGCCAUCGACGCCGCCAUUUCCGACGGCUGCGACGUUAUAUCCAUUUCGCUCGGCUUUCCGCCGCGGCCUUUCUACAACGACAGCGUCGCCAUCGGCACGUUCGCCGCAGCGGAGAAGGGGAUUUUCGUCAGCAUGGCGGCUGGCAACGGCGGCCCGAGAAACUCCUCGAUAUUGAAUGAGGCGCCAUGGAUGCUCACCGUCGCCGCGAGCACCAUGGACCGUUUGAUCAGCGCUAAGGUUAUCCUUGGAGACAACCUCUCCUUCGACGGCGAGUCGCUCUACCAGCCCGACAACUCCGUGGAGGCCUCGUCGGUCUACGCCGGUGCGAGCUCGGCGCAUUUGGCCCAGUUCUGCGGCAACGGCUCGCUGGACGGCUUUGACGUCAAGGACAAGAUAGUGCUGUGCGACACCGGUCGCUACUCGCCGGUGGACAUGGGAGCCGAGGUGCUGAGAGCCGGAGGCGUAGGCAUGAUUGUGGGCAACCUGUUUUUGGAGGGCUACAUCACGUUCCCGGACGCGCACGUCCUGCCGGCCUCGCAAGUCAGCUAUGCUGCUGGAGUGGAGAUCAAGAACUACAUCAAUUCCACGACGAACCCGACGGCAACUAUCUCCUUCAGAGGCACGCUCCUCGGGACGUCGCCGGCGCCGGUCAUCACCUACUUCUCCUCCCGUGGCCCCAACGUCCACAGCCCCGGCAUUCUGAAGCCCGACAUCACGGGCCCGGGCGUGAACGUAAUCGCGGCGUGGCCGUUCCAAGUCGGCCCGCCGUCAAUUGACCUCAGGCCGACCUUCAACAUUCUCUCCGGCACGUCCAUGUCGACGCCGCACCUUGCUGGUGUCGCCGCGCUGAUCAGGAGCAAGCACCCCAGCUGGUCGCCGGCGGCGAUCAAGUCCGCAAUAAUGACGACCGCCGACGUCACCGACCGCUCCGACAUGCCGAUACUCGAGGAGCAGCACAAGGCUGCCGACCUCUUCGCCGUCGGAGCCGGCCAUGUCAAUCCGGAGAAGGCCGUGGACCCCGGCCUGAUAUUUGACAUUUCCCCAGACAACUACAUCAGCUACCUCUGCGGCAUGUACAAGAGCGAAGAGGUCUCAGUGAUCGCGCGCCGCGCUGUGAAUUGCUCGGCCGACAUGGCGAUCCCAGACUACCAGCUGAACUACCCGUCGGUCUCGGUGUCGUUCCCGCCAACGUGGAGCACAGGUCCUCCAAUGUCGGUGGGGCGCACGGUGACGAACGUCGGAGAGGUGCCGGCGGUGUACUACCCCGAGGUCGACAUGCCGGCAGACAGCCCUGUGACCGUCACUGUUUUUCCGGACAAGCUUUUGUUCACCGAGGCGAACCAAGUCCAGAAAUUCGAUAUAGACGUGGAGGCGAAGAACAGCAGCGCCACGGCGGUGCAGGGUGCGAUCCGGUGGGUGUCUGUCAAGCACACAGUGAGGAUCCCCAUCUCGGCCGCCUUU
rnacentral:rRNA from 1 species